CUUCCUCAGGUAUAAGUAUUGUUUAAACUGCAUCGAUGGAGCACAUACAGGGAGCUUGGAAGAUGAUCAGCAAUGGCUUUGGACUCAAAGAUGCGGUGUUUGAUGGCUCCAGCUGCAUCUCCCCUACCAUUCUUCAGCAGUUUGGCUAUCAGCGCCGGGCCUCAGAUGAUGGCAAACUCACGGAUUCUUCUAAGACAAACAAUACUAUCCGGGUUUUCUUGCCAAAUAAGCAAAGGACUGUGGUCAAUGUGCGGAAUGGAAUGAGCUUGCACUGCCUUAUGAAGGCUCUGAAGGUGAGAGGCCUGCAGCCAGAUUGCAUCGUUCAGAUUCCUCCAGGAACACAAAGGUAAGAAAGCAGGCUUAGAUUGGAACGCUGAUGCCGCCUCUCUGAUUGGAGAAGAACUGCAAGUGGAUUUUUUGGAUCAUGUUCCACUCACAACUCACAACUUUGCUCGGAAAACAUUCCUGAAGCUUGCAUUCUGUGACAUCUCUCAGAAGUUCCUGCUAAAUGGAUUUCGAUGUCAGGCUUGUGGCUACAAGUUUCAUGAGCACUGUAGCACCAAACUACCUACUAUGUGUGUGGACUGGAGUAAUAUCAGACAGCUCUUGCUGUUUCCAAAUUCCACUGUUGGUGACAGUGGAGUCCCAGCACCACCUUCUUUCCCAAGGCAUAGGAUGUGAGAAUCUGUUUCCCGGAUGCCUGCUAGUUCCCAGCACAGAUACUCCACACCCCAUGCCUUCACUUUCAACACCUCCAACCCUUCCUUGGAAGGUUUCCUGUCCCAGAGGCAGAGGUCAACGUCCACUCCCAAUGUCCACAUGGUCAGCACCACCCUGUAUGUGGACAGCAGGAUGAUUGAGGAUGCAAUUCGAAGUCACAGUGAACCAGCCUCACCUUCAGCCCUGUCCAAACAACCUGAGUCCAACAGGCUGGUCACAGCCCAAAACGCCUGUGCCAGAAUAAAGAGAGCGGGAACCGGGAUCUGGGACCCAGGAAAAAAACAAAAUUAGGCCUCGUGGGCAGAGAGACUGAAGUUAUUACUGGGAAAUAGAAGCCAGUGAGGUGAUGCUGUCUACUCGGAUCGGGUCAGGCUCCUCUGGCACUGUGUACAAGGGCAAGUGGCAUGGAGAUGUUGCAGUAAAGAUCCUAAAGGUGGUUGACCCAACUCUAGAACAACUUCAGGCCUUCAGGAACGAGGUGGCUGUUUUGCGCAAAACACGGCAUGUUAACAUCCUGUUGUUCAUGGGGUAUAUGACAAAGGACAACCUGGUGAUUGUGACCCAGUGGUGUGAGGGCAGCAGUCUCUACAAACACCUACAUGUCCAGGAGACGAAAUUCCAGAUGUUCCAGCUAAUUGACAUUGCCCGACAGACAGCUCAGGGAAUGGACUAUUUGCAUGCAAAGAACAUCAUUCACAGAGACAUGAAAUCCAACAACAUAUUUCUCCAUGAAGGCCUCACAGUGAAAAUUGGAGAUUUUGGUUUGGCAACAGUGAAGUCACGCUGGAGUGGUUCUCAGCAGGUUGAACAGCCCACUGGCUCUGUGCUGGGGAUGGCCCCAAAAGUAACCCAGAUGCAGGAUAACAACCCGUUCAGCUUCCACUCUGACGUCUACACCUGUGGCAUCGUGCUGUAUGAGCUGAUGACCGGGGAGCUUCCCUAUGCCCACACCAACAACAGAGACCAGAUCAUCUUCAUGGUAGGCCAUGGGUAUGCCUCCCCAGAUCUCAGCAGGCUCUACAAGAACUGCCCCAAGGCAAUGAAGAGGUUGGUGGCUGACUGUGUGAAGAAAGUCAAAGAAGAGAGACCUUUGUUUCCCCCGAUCCUGUCUUCCCUCGAGCUGCUUCAGCACUCUCUUCCGAAAAUCAACAGGAGCGCCUCUGAGCCUUCCCUGCAUCGGGCAGCUCACACUGAGGACAUCAAUGCGUGCACACUGACUAUAUCUCCAAGGCUACCAGUCUUCUAGCUGAUGAUGUAGCUGUUCUUAGGCCACCAGGGGACGAAGAAGAGUCA